CCCGGCGUUUGCUUCGCUGCUUCCUCGGGACAGCCCUCUCUCCUUCCACAAACCCCUUCCCUUGGCGUUCCAGAAUCCCCUGCCACCUGCUCCGUGCUCUUCCAUCCCCUCCUUCCCUCAGCCUCCUUGCUUCUGCUUCACAGAAUUACAGGAUCACUUAGGUUGGAAAAAACCUCAGAGAUCAUCGAGUUUAACUUCUGCCUGAACACCACCACCAUCUUAACUAGACCAUGGCAUUAAAUGCCACAUCAAGUCCUUCCUUAAACACCCCCAGAGACAGUGACUCCACCACCUCCCCGGGCAGCCCAUUCCAAAGUCUAAUCACCCCUUCUGUGAAGGAAUUCUUUAUGAUGUCCAAACUAAAACUCUCCUGGUGUAUCUUACAACUAUUUUCUCUUGUCCUCUCCCUAGAUGCGCGUGAGAAGAGGCCGACCCUCAUCUGGCUACAACCUCCUUUCAGGUGGUUGUGGAGAGUGAUAAGGUCUCCCCUGAACCUGCUUUUCUCCACACCUGCAGCUCCCUCAGCCACUCCUCACAGGACAUGUGCUCCAGACCCUCCACCAGCUCUGUUAUCUUCCCCUGGACACACCUCAGUAUCUUUCUUGGGGUGGGGGGCCCAGAACUGAACAUGGCACUCAAGGAAAAAUAUCUAGCAAAACACAAAAAUGGCAAGGUCAUAAAUGCACAGGAGAUGGAUUACUGCCAAACUUCAGACACUCCAAGGAACUGAGGAAGAAGGGUGUAAGGUAGAGCACCUUAGCCUACACAGUUUCACCAAGCCUGCUGGCUGGAUCAACUAAAGGUGUAAAUUAUCUUCUCCCUAUGACAAGAGGAGGAUAUUAAAUGAUACUGUGGGAGACCGAAUAUCACUUGAAACUCACGUUAGGAGCAAGCGUGCCCUGCCCAUCCCAUAGCGAGUGCAAGGUAGCUGGAGAGACUCUAAUUCUGUGAGAGGCCAGAGCAAGAGAGGAAGCUUCAUUCUGUGUAUGGAACUAUGACUUUAGACACUCGCAGAGAACCAGAGUUCUGUGAUCCCAGGAACAACCUCGAGGGGGGGAAUUAGCUCAAAUGGUAGAGCGCUCGCUUAGCAUGCGAGAGGUAGCGGGAUCGAUGCCCGUAUUCUCCAGUGUUUUGCCAGAUGGGAAAUCAUCCAAACAACAUGUGUAACUAUUUCGGUGAAAUGUUAGCUUUAUUUCCAUUGAAGUAAAACAGAUUUUUUUUCCCUUCCUCCUUUUCUUCCUCUGCCCUUACCUCCUAAAUCAGGCUUACAUAACUGUAUAGGUCAAUCCUCUGUUGUAAAAGUUAACUUCCUGGACAGUGUAAAUUAAAUUGAGCAGGAAGAGAAGUCUGCAGUACAACAUUUUUCCAUGCCCAAUGAAAAACGACACAUCGUGUUUUACCCCGAGCCAGUCACCAAGAGCUACACAGUUGCACCACUCACAGCCCCACAAUCAGAAGUGUAAAAGCUGGAGAGCUCAGUGGAAAUAAAGGCAGUUUAAUAGGGAAAGCAAAAGCCACGCACACAAGCAAAGCAAAACAAGGAAUUAACUCCCUGCUUCCUAUGGGCAGACAGGUGUCAAGACAUUCCCCAGGAGAGCAGGGCCCCAUCACAUGUAAUGGUUACUUGGGAAGACAAAAAUCACUUCAAGUGACCCCCCCUUCCUCCUUCUUUCCCCCAUGUUGUAUACUGGGCAUGAUGUCAUAUGGUCUGGAAUAUUCCUUUGGUCAGUUGGAGUCACCUGUCCUGGCUGUCUGCUCUCUACCUCCCAUGCCAACAUGGAAAUAUGAGAAGCAGAAAAGGCCUUGGCUCUGUGAUGAACACAACAUAAUCCAAGAUCAUUUCAGUUUUCAUUCUAUGUUAGAACUGAAGCCUGGCCCAGAACCCUGAAGCUGACUUUGGUAAUUCCAGAAGCCACAAUAAACUAAGGUACAGCAAAUUCAACUCAUUUGUCUGUAAAAGAACUGGCUUUCUAGUCAUACUAACAAAUCGUUCAUGUUUCCAUUUCCUUCCAUAAUGUGAUUUAAGGACACGAAUGUUCAUGCGGAAAAAAAUGCUUUUAAAUGUUAAUGGAAAUGUAAAAACAAUACAGUAAACUUACUAUAUCAGACUGUGCUCGGAGAUCAUCCAAAAGCUGUUGGUACUUCAAAGAUGGUGCUUUACCCUUUGACUGGAUAAGCUUCCGUAAGGCUUGAGCCAAUUCCUCUUUUCGCUUACGAGCUGUUGUACUCAUUCCUUAGAAAAGCAAAGAAAAUACCCGUUAGUGAUCAGCUAAGGAGGACAGCUUAAGUUACAUUUUAAAAACCACAAAAUCCCAACAGUGGCCGUGCUUUAACCCCACGGAAGCACAGACCUGUUGUGAGAAUGGAUAUGUCCACAAUGCCAGUCUUUGGAUCAGUAGCAGAUUGUUUCAGCGCUUCCCGAUGGAGGCGUUUUGCUUCCUCCACAUCAACUGUUUCCACCUUCUCGGAGAAGCGCACCUUGGCGUGCGCCUCGGCCAGCCGGAUCAGAGACUCCAGCUGCCGGGGGUAGGCGGAAACCAUUCCCCUGCCACUGCCGAUCUUCCUCAUGUCCACGUAUGCCUGAAAGGGAGACACUCGUCACACAGCUCGCUGUGUCUUAAUUCCUCUUCAGUCCCCUGCAUCCCCCACCUCUUAAUUCAGAAUAUGAGCAAUUCUGGCAAGCCAUUCCAAAUACUGUAUUUCUGCUCACACACCUUCACGGUUCGUCUGCAGUGAUGAAUAACCACAUCAAGUAAUUUUUUUUCAGUUAUAAAGCAAUUAAACCAUGGUAAUUAAUCAAGUUUUGAAUCACUUCAGAAUUCUGAAUCAAUCUUAUAUAGCAGUACUUGUAUGUGUGAUGACACAUUUUGCAUUGGAAGACUUUUAUGUGUUUUAUGUGACAGAAACAAACCAACAUAUCUGAAAGCUAAACAUUAGAAUGAAGAACAACUCAUCUGAUCCGUCUUUCCAUUAAAGACUUUUAUGUUUUCAAAGAUCUUACAGAAGGUUGUUAUGCAGAUAAGAGAGUGUACGUAUGAGGGAAUUUCACCACUUCUAACAAGUCAUAAAGACUCUGAUCAUUCUCAGCAGCAAUUCCUUUACCUCAAUAAGGGCUUGGCCUGCUUCUUCACCUAAUCUGGGAUUUACAUAACUACGAGCAUAUGCGAUGUAAUCCCUCAAGACUGCCAUAUCCAUGUAUUCCUCCUCCAUCUUUUCUUCACUUUGGUAGUACAGUGAAACCAAAUGGCGAGCAAGGCGUCUGUCAUAAGCUUCAUCACGUGGAUCCAACAUCAAAAAGAUCAAGUCAAAUCUGAAUGGGAUAUGAUCCAGUAUUAGUGCAUUACUAAAUAUUAGUGCAUGACUACUAUUAGUGCAUAUUUUCUUGUCAUUUAGGUGUUUGGGUGAUAAAGAUUUAACGUAAUUACAGGUAAGAAUUCCUAGACUUAAUUCCUACUCUCAGUAGAAAUUGCUUUCUCACACUGGAAAGAAAAUGUCCUAGAAUUCUCAAGGUACAGAAAAACACAAUGGAUUUGCUGACACCCUAUGGACUUGAAAUUUUGAAAGCAAGGUACAUUCUGCAAAAUUCAGAUUCCACGUUCAAGGCUGACAUAUUUUGUUUCCUUAAAAAAUCCACACCCCACACCAACCCCAAAAGAAAGCUGCAACUGCCACACACAAAAAAUCCCACACACAUAACAAAUGCAUGAAACGUGCUGCUAAAGAUACUGCCCUGAAAUACAGCAGCAAAAAAAUGCAACUAAAUAAAAUUACAAUUCAAAAAGCACUUGCAGUUUAAUUCUGAAGAAAAUGGUUUAUAAUUUUACAAAUAUAUUCAACUAGUCUCAACCGUAAGCAGACACAGAUAAUGCAUUUUUAGCCAGCCAAUUAUAUUUGUAGGCUUAAAUCAAAUAAAUGGUGGAAUUGAGAUGCUGCUCAAAUCUAGAAGCUCUUAUCUGAAAUUUAAGCCAUAAGUGUUCUCAGGAUAUCCAGUAUACUAUCAGUGUGCUUCAAAUUUCCAGUUACUGUGGAAAUUCUUAACAAGAUCAACUCCAGCAUGUAGUUUAUUUUUUUGUCUUUAUUUUAGCAAGCACUAAAUGUGGCUUUAACAGCUACUGCCCACAUGACUGACCAGCACUGCUACCACCACCUCCUCAGGUGAAUUUUACAAGCAGCAUGAAGCAGGCUUAGGAUUCUACCACCUCUGCUAUCAAGUUCCCUGAUCAUCAGUGUUUCACUUGAAAAUCUUUAUGGAGCUAAGAAAAGCAUCCUGAAUUUUUGUUUAAGUUAUCAAUAUCCUAAGUUUCAGAACAGCUCUUUUCUAGGAGAUGAUUACGAAACAACAUAGAAUUAAGUAAGAGAUCCUACAGAUCUCAUCACACCUGCUCUUCAAGGUCAGCAUGUAAAUACUAAAAAAGGCACUCCUGUGCUCACAUAAGAUAUUGUAAGGACGGCAUAUAUAGUAUGUGCUAUAAAAGUUUUCAUUAGGUUGUGAACAACACAGUAGUUCCAUUCUAUUCUGUCACGAUUUUCAGAAGAGGAAGUGUAACAUCCCCUAAAAAUGACAAAUGCAGUGCAGUUCAGUACCUUGACAGCAGUGUAUGAGGAAGCUGAAUGUUUUCAAUAGUAGUCUUUUUCGGAUUCCACUGUGAUUCUAUAGGAUUAGCUGCUGCUAGGAUAGAUGUACGAGCAUUCAACUGACAAAUAAUUCCAGCCUGUCAAAAGGAAAAAAUAUGUCUGAAAACAGCUGCAGUUGUGCCACCAAAACCUCCCUCCAAUUUCAUGAGAUCACCAAUGUUACUAGGUGGAUUCUGUAGUCAAAACCUGUAUUGUGAAAGCCUCUGAGUAAAGCAAGAGCUAAAUCCCCUAGGAAUAACUUCAGUUUCACUUACCUUUGCAAUGGAGAGUGUCUGUUGUUCCAUUACUUCAUGCAGAACUGACCUUGUGCUUUCAUUCAUUUUAUCAAACUCAUCGAUGCAGCAAAUGCCAUUGUCACUAAGUACGAGAGCUCCUGUCUGAAGAACCAGCUGCCGUGUUUCUGGAUCCUUCAUCACGUAUGCAGUAAGACCAACUGCACUUGAGCCUUUGCCAGAAGUAUACUGGCCUCGAGGAACCAGGUUAUACACAUACUGGAGCAGCUGGGAUUUGCUAGUGCCAGGAUCACCACAGAGAAGGAUGUUGAUCUCUGCACGAAAAUUCCCUCUUCCUGUGUGAGUAAAAUCCUUUCUUGAUCCACCAAAAAGCUGAAGCAGAAUACCCUAUAACAAUGAAAAUAUCAAUUGUAUAGAUAUAACACAGCAAAUCCAGCUGUUCAGCUGAAAAAUAUGAAAAACAAACACUGCUAAAAUUAACACAACUCAAUGCAUUUACAUGGUUUCAAGCAUUACAGACAGAUAUUUUGUACAUUGUUGUAACCAGAUUUUGGCUGGAACGUGAAGAAUCCCCUUUGAUGAAGGGUCCUUAGUUUUCCACAACUCCAUCCCCUAGAUUUGAUGGAUCUUUUUUAGCAUGUUGAGAAGGUAACAACAAAAGGAACUGUCAUUACUGUGUUCCCAUUUCAUAAGUAAAUCAUUGUAUGGUUUUGAAUUACACUUUCAGGAACUUGUGAACAAUAAUAAUGUAUAAUUCAAUUAAAAAAACCUCAAAGGAAUAUACUUGGAAGAGAAGUGUUUGAUGUCUUACAAUAAUUUGAGACCUCCUACUAACUGCAGUUUUCACAAUGUUCUAGUACCUCAAUUGAUACUUAUUGGAACAGUCCCUUCUUGGAUACAUCCAAGUAAAUGUUUUGAUACUCCAUAAUUCAGAGUCAACCAUAAGUCAUUUUGAAGCCACUCUUCUCUUGUGGAUGCCUCUUCUCAUCACGCACAGUUAUGUUACAGCUACAGCUUCAGAAUAAAGGAAUCAAGAUCAGACAGCCUGGGGAUGUCUAGCCCAAUCAUGAGGUCAAACUGGAGAUCACUGCUUGCUAAAGGCUGUGUCCCAUUGGAUUUUGAGUAUCUCUAAGGACAAAGACUCCGUGCAGCCUUGCCAACCAACCUGUGAUGAGGCUCGACCACACAAACAGUAAAAAAGUUCUGAUUUUUAACCAGAAUUGCCUGUAUUUCAGCUUAUGACCUCUGUGUGCCACUAGGCAUCAUUAAGAAGAGUCUGGCUUUGUCUUCUUGACAUUACCACCCCUCCACCCACACCUAACCAGGUGUUUCUAAACAUGCUGCUAAGAUUCCCCCAAGCCUUCUGUUCUCCACGCUGAGCAGUCACAGCUUUCUCAGCUUUCCAUGCAUGACCAAAGCUUCUGUUAUCGUCAAAGCCCUUUGCUGAAUUCACUCCUGUAUGUUCAUGUCUCCCUUGCCCUGGGAGACCCCACAACUGGACCCAGUGCUCCCUCAACCUGCUGACAACACUCCUAAUACAGCCCAGGAGAACGCUGGCACCACAGCCAUGGUCAAUCAAGCACUGCUUUCUUCCAGUUUUGUUUUUGUCUGCAAGUUUGCUGAGGGUGUAGAACACUGUCCCUAUAAGAAAAGGCUUCCAGGAUUAUUGAUUCUGUCACCUUUCCCAGGGCUCAAGAUGAAGCCUGCAGUUCCCUCCUCACUGUAGGGAGUACCAUUGGCUUUUUUCCUAGUAUUUUAGCCAGUCAACAUGACUUUUCGAAGAUAACUGAGUGGACUUGCAAAGAAAGUAUCCAACUCCUUCAGCACCUGGAAGUGCAUCCCAUCAGGUCCCUUUACACACAGUUAAGAUCAAUAAAAAAUGGAAAUACUCAAACCAAAUUUUACCUGUGACAUUAACUCUGUCACCUGGCUGAACUUUAUCAACAAGGUCAUUGUGAGCAAAGAGUGCCACUGUAUGCGGGGUCUGUCCAGCUGGCAUAUCUUCAGGAGACUCCUGCAGUUUAAUCUAGCAAAAACACCAUUUAAGUUGCAGUUUCAAAAAAAGCAGAGCUUUUCCAUAGAGCAUACAACAGGAUUUUGUAUUAACAGAGUCUUCAGCAUCAUUUUCAAUCAGGAACAUUGCUUAAGAAUAAAAUAUCCCCACCCAAACAGCAAAACUGAUUACAAGAAAUCUCAUUAUGAAAAUGAGAAUUCUGGUAUUGCUACUGGCAUGGAUAAAAUGCUGCUACAAGCAAGGCUCACCUAGUCUAGACAGAAGUGGACUGUAUAUAAAGUGGCUUCGAUACAGAAACAUUAUAUACUUAAUUUCAUCCUCCUAAUGCAUUUCUUCUCCAAAGUAGACUUUCACUAAGCUGUUUCACCCAUUUCUAUGUUCCAAAACACUUAUUUUCAAAGCAUUCAAUCUCAAGACACAUAACUAAUGCUGUUGAUGAUUUUAGGAGGGUGGGGGAGCAAAACCUAGCAAUUCUUCCAUUCUAGCCACUACCUAAGCCAACAUACCAUCUGUUUGUCAGAGAACAUGGAUCUGUUAUGAAUCAGCGCCAUACUGUGUGUUGUGUUACAGUUCUUGCACACUGAUGGUUCAGCAAUCCUGCCACGGUCGAUUUCCACUCUGGUGGUGAAAGCGCAGACCUGGCAUCUAAAGAAUGCUUCCUGCAUCUCAGGAAUUAACUGGGAGCUUCUGAUGACCAUGCCACUGAUGGUGAUGAGUUGAUCAAUGUCUACAAAAACAUAAGGACUCAUGUCAUGACCUCAUACUCUUAAAAUUCAAAUACCAUUCAAAAUUUCACAUUACAUCGUUUUUAGGCAGAAGCUAGACAGACAGGUUACUACUAUUUUGUUCAAGCAAAAAGAAUAAAUGCACAAUAUAAAUACUCUAAUUUACAGGAGUAUGUAUACAAAAGAAAGAAUCCUUUGCACUUCCAGAACUAAUAACACAAGUGGUUGAUGAUAGGAAAUAUAUCCUUUAUUGAUAGGUUAUUCCACAUUUGGGCUCUAAAGCAUUUUCUUCUGAAUGGAAGACAUGAAUGGAAGAUACUGGUCUGGAUGGACCACAAGUACAGUUUUAUAUAGUCUUAAUCUUGUCAUAUUCACUAAGUUUAUGGAAAUCUUUAAGAUUCUUUUCUAGCAUCUUAAGCAAAAAGUUUACCUUCAGGGUUUAGAUUUCUCAUAUUCCUGGUCUUCAGUGCGUUAUAUGGCCUUACUUGAAUUUGAUGCUCUAGUAUUGAAUCAGGGUAACGAUCAAAAAAGAUCUCAUUGGCAGCCAUGUCAAAUGUUGGGAUAACUUCCUGUAUUAGAAACAGCUUACAUGUUAGAUCACAGAAUGAAGUAAUUAUGCAUAAAGAAUUCUGUGUGCUGCUGAUCAGCCAGUAAUGAUUAAAGUUACACCAUUUUCCUACGUAACACAAAACAUGCUAUUUGGGUCAGAUUUAUUUAUUCAUUCACUUGAGUAUUGCAAGGAGCGGAAGCACAGAACUCUGACCAUUGCAGUUCACCAGCUAACUUUGCAUGCAGGAGGUACUCACUGUUUCUAUGAUCAUCUGCUAUGAAACAAGACAUCUUAUAUUCAGUAAAAUAAAGUAGCCACUGAGAUCGCACUGAAGACACACAGUAUGCACACACUGCAUUUAAACAAGCAUUUUAAACCCCAGAAAUAUGAAAGAACCACCUGAGAGCCAGAAAACAAGUGCACUACCUCACCUGAGGAUAGCAGAUCAGUUGCCUGUAGAGAUUUUCAUCAAAUGAUCUUAGAUGGUCACAAUUUACAUUCAGGAAUGGUUCCCCAACCAUAUUAAUCUGUAAGGGAGUUAGGAAAUCUUUAGCUCGAUGGCAUGCAAGACUGAAAAAAGAAAAGCUGAAUUACUCCAUUACAAGUACCUCUUGGAGUCGUUGCAUAUAGCGUGGCUCAUUAAGAUCCAGGCCAAUGUCUUCAUCCUCUUUAUCCAGUGGAUCGAUAAAGCGCUGGAGAAAUCUCUGAAUGUCAGAGGUAAAAGAAAGACAUGAAAAAUUAGCAGAAUUUAGUAGCACAAACAUCUCCUUUGUACUAGAUACAACUAGUAUUUGUUUAAAUCAAACUAGCUUUUCAUUUUAAAAAAGGGAAGAAACAAAACCCACCUGGAAUUUUUCUUUGCAUGAGGCCACAUUAACAUCUGUUCCCCAAAUAACAAGCUUUUGUCCAAGAGAUUGCUCGGUUGCUACUAUGUCUUCAGCCAGCUGCAUGGAAACAAAUUAAGCAUAUACAAAUAUUUAUAUGUUCAAAAAGAAGUUGUCAGAUACAAGAGGUGAGACAUCCACCUACCCCAUCUGAGUGCAAAUCCACUUGUCUGGCUUUCCGGACAGACCCCAGAUCCGGCCUCUGCCUGACUGGAGUUCCUCGUGCACCACUUCGUGGGGUGCCCUCUACCCUGGAGCUGGGUGUGCCGUAAGUCAGAGGUGAACUGAUGUCAAAGUCAAGAGGAAUGGCUAUAAAAGGAAAUGGUUUCUAAUGAUUAUUGAGACAUUUGACAUCUACAGCAGACUAAAAUUCAGCCCCUGCAUUUGUCUCAUUGGUUCUGCAACUCUGUCAUAAAAUGAGUAGUCUCAGUCAAGCACAGUGUUCUGUCAAAACACACAAUAAAGAUGUUGCCAGUCUCCCUAGAACUUUUCUUUGUAUUAACAGCUCUUCUCAAAGAUCCCAAGUUCAAAUAAAGUUUCCCUAGAAAACUUUA